CCUACGGGCGGCAGCAGUGGGGGAUAUUGCACAAUGGGGGGAACCCUGAUGCAGCGACGCCGCGUGGGUGAAGGAGUGCUUCGGCAUGUAAAGCUCUAUCGGCAGGGAAGAAGCAAGACGGUACCUGACUAAGAAGCCCCGGCUAACUACGUGCCAGCAGCCGCGGUAAUACGUAGGGGGCGAGCGUUAUCCGGAUUCACUGGGUGUAAAGGGAGCGUAGACGGCAAUGCAAGCCAGGGGUGAAAGCCCGGGGCCCAACCCCGGGACUGCCCUUGAAACUGUGCGGCUAGAGUGCGGGAGGGGCAGGCGGAAUUCCUGGUGUAGCGGUGAAAUGCGUAGAUAUCAGGAGGAACACCGGCGGCGAAGGCGGCCUGCUGGACUGCGACUGACGUUGAGGCUCGAAAGCGUGGGGAGCGAACAGGAUUAGAUACCCCAGUAGUC
rnacentral:rRNA from 1 species